AUUGAACGCUGGCGGCAUGCUUUACACAUGCAAGUCGAACGGUAGGGUAGCAAUACCUGAGAGUGGCGAACGGGUGAGUAAUGCAUCGGAACAUGCCUAUUUGUGGGGGAUAGCCCGGCGAAAGCCGGAUUAAUACCGCAUACGAUCUACGGAUGAAAGCUGGGGACCGCAAGGCCUAGCGCAAAUAGAGUGGCCGAUGUCAGAUUAGCUAGUUGGUGGGGUAAAGGCUCACCAAGGCAACGAUCUGUAGCUGGUUUGAGAGAACGACCAGCCACACUGGGACUGAGACACGGCCCAGACUCCUACGGGAGGCAGCAGUGGGGAAUUUUGGACAAUGGGCGCAAGCCUGAUCCAGCAAUGCCGCGUGCAGGAUGAAGGCCUUCGGGUUGUAAACUGCUUUUGUACGGAGCGAAAAGGCUUCUUCUAAUACAGGAGGCUCAUGACGGUACCGUAAGAAUAAGCACCGGCUAACUACGUGCCAGCCGCCGCCGUAACAC
rnacentral:rRNA from 1 species